rnacentral:piRNA from 1 species
UAAUCUGUGGGAUUGUGGAUUGCUGU